GAUGAACGCUGGCGGUCUGCUUAACACAUGCAAGUCGAACGGGCUCUUCGGAGCUAGUGGCGGACGGGUGAGUAACGCGUGAGGAUCUGCCCUUAGGACGGGGACAACAGCUGGAAACGGCUGCUAAUACCCGAUGUGCCGAGAGGUGAAACUAUUUGGCCUGAGGAUGAGCUCGCGUCUGAUUAGCUAGUUGGAGUGGUAACGGCACACCAAGGCGACGAUCAGUAGCUGGUCUGAGAGGAUGAUCAGCCACACUGGGACUGAGACACGGCCCAGACUCCUACGGGAGGCAGCAGUGGGGAAUUUUCCGCAAUGGGCGAAAGCCUGACGGAGCAAGACCGCGUGCGGGAGGAAGGUCUAUUGAUUGUAAACCGCUUUUGAUAGGGAAGAAGAUCUGACGGUACCUAUCGAAUCAGCAUCGGCUAACUCCGUGCCAGCAGCCGCGGUAAUACGGGGGAUGCAAGCGUUAUCCGGAAUUAUUGGGCGUAAAGCGUCCGUAGGUGGUUUUAAAAGUCUGUUGUCAAAUCGCGAGGCUCAACCUCGUACAGGCAGUGGAAACUAUAAGACUAGAGUGCGGUAGGGGUAGAGGGAAUUUCCAGUGUAGCGGUGAAAUGCGUAGAUAUUGGAAAGAACACCGGUGGCGAAGGCGCUCUACUGGGCCUGCACUGACACUGAGGGACGAAAGCUAGGGGAGCGAAAGGGAUUAGAUACCCCUGUAGUCCUAGCCGUAAACGAUGGAAACUAGGUGUUGCCCG
rnacentral:rRNA from 1 species